UGUGUUAUUUUCCGACUCCGCAAUUUAAAGAUUGUACCUUUCGCAACACCGCUGGUCCUGGGAACUCAUUUUACCGGGAAGAAAACGGCACUUAGUUGAAGGCAGAAAUAUUUAGGUGGAAACACGGACAGAUUUUUCCGUAUCACAAAAUCCUGUAGCAUUAUAGUUAGAAAAGAAAAUUCCUGCCUCUCGUCCUGACAAACAAUGCCCCCCUGUCUGUGUAGCAGCAGGCGAGGUAAGAACGCAGAAUAAUAUUCUGAGAUAUAGAAGUCCUGGAAAGUACAGCUGGGAAAUAAUUAUGUUUUCUUUCUUUCUUUUUUUUUAAAGAAGGCAAAUGAUGCAUAUAAAUAAACCACGAAGAUUUUCACUCAAAGACCACAGUUUACCAUCCGGUAUUAUGAAUUCAAGAUCUUUAGACUCCUCUGAUCGGAACUCGCAGGAUCUUUUUAAAUUGCCUUUAAAACCUAAGCAGUAGACCCGAAAAGCGUGAACUCAAAUCCAGCACGGAGUCUAAGCGCGGGAGGGUGGUCAUCCCACCAAGUACCCAAGAAGGAGAAAACGCCCUUUUCCCCUUCUGCUCUUGUUGAAGAGACAAAAAUACUUCUCCUUAAGUUCACACAAAAUCUUGAGAUUUUUUUUUUGCCCUGGUUGUGCAAUUAUGUAUUAGUGUUUGAUUAAUAAGCUAUCGAUGGACCGAUCUUCUAUAAGAGAACGAAUAAUAUUAACUAACUAUGUAUAGUUGUUGGCCUAACGAAUAUUUCUGCUAUGUGCCAUCUAUCCACAACUAUUGAAGGAAUAUAUGCCUUUGGUUUAUAUUUCUACUCAUAAGCCGUUAAAAAAAGUUUUUUUUCCUGCUUAUAAAAAUGUCAUGUGUUUUGAGAAGGCACAGUAAAGUCUAAAGUAUAAGUAAAGAGUAAAAUAUAAAUACAGAUAUUUAAGACAGAGAUUAUUUAAGUAGUGAGUAUAAAAUAUAAAUAAUUCAAGUAUAAAAAUACAUGGAAAAGGGAAAUUUCACCUACAUGCCAUUAUCCAGAAAUAAUUCUAUUGUAUAUCUUUUCCAACAGUUGACAUAAGCACAAAAUUACAUAAUUUACAUGCACAUUUACUGUUUGUGAAAUGUUGUAUCCCUAUGUCGUUACAAACGCUUUGUCAACAGCAUUUUAACAGUAACACAAUAUUCUAUUAUUUUGUUACGUGAUAAUUUACCCCAGAAUUCCCUAUUAUUCCAAAUUUCAUUUCUUGUAAAUAUUUCUCCGUUGUAACUCUACAACCAAUGUUCUUGCCUGUGAUCUGCAAUGUUGUUGCCGCUGCAUUAUUCUAAGGGGGUUCAGGUAGACCCCACAGACUCCAUUUAUCCUAUCGGAAAAGAGCUUGGAAAUGCGAGAAUUCUCUUCAGGUCCCAUUUACUCCGGAAAGCAAUAUGAGAAUCAGUUUGCUUCCCCCGCUCACCGCCCAGAGGCCCGGUGAUGUGGAAAUUUUGCCUGACAGAUCUGUGGGACCAGGGAGGCACACGCCUGACUAACACACAGCAUUUGGGAAUUGUGCCCUUGCACUAACGUGCUGGCCUGUUCCUGCCUCCGAGUCACUUGGCUCUAACUCUCUCCCCGCCACGACCGCCACCACCAACUUGGUGGGUUUAAGUCAGGACGGUGAAGCUGAACACCUUGAAAACAUUAUCUCAACAGUUCUGACAAAACUUUGCCUGGCUAGAAAACAGUACUUUCGAUUUGUCCCAAGCAUCUUUCUUUGCUGAAACUUCAAACCUCGGGCCCGCUUUUCGCCACGCUGCAGGGUCCCUCCUGUCCCCCCACCUCCCUGCCCUCUCCUGUAUGGGGGGCGGGAAGCCUAGCGGUGCUCCACACUUGGGGCCCACCGCACACCCUCGUCCCCUCGGCCAGUCAGCCUGCAGGCGGGGUUCGGCCUUGGGGCGAUGUUGGCGGUUUGUCUGGCCUGCCCCGACGUGGGUCCCAGCACGGCGGGGGGAAGGUGGCUGCUGCCACGGAGCUCCAACCCCAGGGCCUGCACCUAUCUGCCUGAAAGAGGCGGCCUGUGGGCUCCCGGGGAAGAACAGAAGCGCGAGGAGGACAGGAGGACCCAGCCAAGAGCAUUUGUUAUCAGAACUCAGCAGCUCCAAGAUGGACAAGGCAGGGAGAAAAGCCCGGAAGGCAGCACGUGGAGAAGGGACCAGAGCUUCGGAGGGGAGGAGGACGAGCGAUUUUUCUCUCACGUGCAUUUUUCUGCAUUUUCCAAAUUUUCUACGAUGAGCCUGUAUUGCUUUUAUAAUUAGAAAAAGAUCAUAUUCUUGAUACAACUAUGUUUCUUAUCAGUCAAAUAGAUAUGAUUCAUUACAAGAAUAAAAUAAAUGACCGUUAAUACUUACAAGUUGACAUAAACAAGAAUAAUCAGAUAGUGCCAGGAAAAGUAUUCAGAUGAUAACGGUAGUUCACGUGUCUCUAGCAAUUUACCCUUUAGAGAAACACUUUCAAACAGAAAAUGAAACUGGGCAGCUUCGCUAUGCAAAUAUUGGCUCCUGCUGUGCUAUUUCUGCAACGACCCUUGUUGUCGGGCUGGGACGGACCCUUUCUUCUCGUUUUCAAUCUGGGGGAACUGAGGCUCGGAGGAUCAAAGUUAAGAGCCCAGGACUUGAACGGAGGCUUGGCGUCUCCCACGUCCCCACGGCAGCUUCCAGACCCCCGAUCCUGGCACCUUCCUACAGGGGAGAUGUUUCCCCAGGGGAUCUAGCGUGUUUCCUGGCAUCCAGUUUGUUUUCCCCUGUUACUGGAGGUGGUGCCUGCGGCCAACGUGGAAUUGCAAUUAGUGAGGAUUUUGUUGGGUUUGCUUUAAAAUAAUGCUAUUUGCACAGGGUCCGGGUAUUACUUGAGAGGUGUGCUCCGGAGUGCUGGUGGCACUGGGAAGGGGCCCGGCUGAGGUGUGACGGUGCCUCAGCCAGGCAGAGACUAUAUUUUUCAUGUGGUGACAUUAGAGCCAAAUGCCACACUUCUCCUGGGAGAGGAACGACACGCAGAGGACGCUGACUCACGUGCACGUGUGUGGAAUUUCUGGGGCUCGGGUCCACCCUGGAAGAACUCUGUUGCCUGGGUGGGGACGCGCCUUUCCUUAUUUUAUUUUAAAGUGGGCCAUUUCCAGCCUCUCCAUAACAACAGAUGGGAACAAGUCUACGAAUCGAAUGUAUCCGAUCUUAAGUCUCUUUCUUUAAAACGAGGCACGGGAUUAAAAUAUUUGUCUGUUCGCUUUGAAACACGCAGCGAAGGCACCAGCUUCAAGACCACUCCUUAAUUUCCACAGUUUUGGCUUUUCAUUGUUUCCAGAAACCUACGGCCCUUGCAUGCUGAACACCCUCAAAAUCUGAUGGGAUCUUUAAGCGGGGAGCCUGGCACACACCGCGCUCUCUAGCCAGCCGAAAACCCUUCCUCGCGCUGCACAAACAGCCUCGGUGACGAGCUGUUCCAACGCCCCUUUCCCGUGAAAUCGUGCAGGCCUGAGACCAGCUUCCAGAAGGAGUCUGCCUCUGGCCAGCGUGGCCGAUGGAAACCAGAGCCUGCGCCCAGGGCUGCCGGGGGCCUGACUCACUAGUGGAAGCAUCUUUUACCCUCGCCGAGAAGACCCACCAGCAAAAAGGAAGCAGAGAAAGCAGUCUCCCCAACUCUGGGGAGGCCGUGGGGACCUGCUAAGCCUGCACUGCCCAGGACAGUCCCUCUCCACGGCCACAAGAGGCCACUGAGCCUUUCAAAUGCGAAGAGUCCCUUCAGAAUGGAGAUGUAUGUGCAAAAUACGCUCCGGAUUUCAAAGAUGUGAUGUGAAAAAUAUGCAAAACAUCUCAUCGAUAGUUUCAUAUUAAUUACACACUGAAAUGUACUGUCUUGGAAGCAGAUUAAACAAAUGGUAUUAUUAUAGUGAA